UUGGCAUAUUAUUGAGAUGUUGCAACAACAGGAUGCUUUACGUCAAGGGAUUACUCUGGCCAGAGUUGUCUUUCAUGAAAUAACUGAGGAAUCCAUAAAACAUGCCUUGCAAGCUCCUAGAGAAAUUGAUUUGAACUUGGUUCAUGCUUACCUUGCACGGCGUGCUCUUGAUUAUUUAAUUGGCUUCAACAUUUCACCAUUGUUAUGGAGGAAAUUACCAGGUUGCCAGUCAGCUGGACGUGUCCAAUCUGCUGCAUUGUCUCUUAUAUGUGACAGGGAAAUGGAAAUUGAUGAAUUUAAGCCACAAGAGUACUGGACUAUUGAAGUUGAAUUAUACAAAAACAAUCCCGGUUCUUUGGUGAAUACUCACCUGACCCAUUUUGACUCCAAUAAGUUGAAUCAGCUUUCAAUUAGCUCACAUACAGGGGCAAAGGAUAUUGAACUGAAGAUAAAGGAUGCACUUUUUCAAGUUGCUGGUGUUAAAGAAAGCAAAAUGAGGAGAAAUCCUCCCACACCUUAUAUAACGUCAACACUUCAGCAAGAUGCAGCAAACAAAUUACAUUUUCCUUCAAUGUAUACAAUGAAGCUUGCGCAAAAACUUUAUGAAGGGAUUCAGUUAUCAGAUGGGAAGGCAACGGGUUUGAUAACAUACAUCAGAACAGAUGGACUGCAUAUUUCGGAUGAAGCAGUCAAGGGAAUACGUUCCUUAGUGAUUGAAAGGUACGGCCAAGAUUUUGCAUCUGGGGGCCCACUCAGAUAUUUUAAGAAGGUGAAGAAUGCUCAAGAGGCCCAUGAAGCAAUUAGACCAACCAAUAUUUGGAUGUUACCAUCAAUGCUUGUUGAUGUACUUGAUGAAGAUUCCUUGAAGUUGUACACUCUUAUUUGGUCUCGAACAGUGGCAUGCCAAAUGGAACCUGUUACUAUCAACCAGAUCCAAAUUGACUUUGGGAAUGCUGAUAUGUCAAUCGCUCUGAGAUCUUCAUGCUCAGAAAUUGGGUUUCUUGGAUACCAGGCAGUUUAUGAGGAUAUUGAGGCUAGAGCAGUAAGAUACAAGGAAAAUGAGGUGCCUGAUCGUCAGGAAGCCUUUGCAAGUCUCAAGUCACUUAAGCCAGGGGAUCAUUUGAAUCUUGGUGAAGUAAAAAUCAAGCAGCACUUUACCCAGCCUCCACCUCGCUACUCUGAAGGAUCAUUGGUAAAGAAGCUGGAGGAACUUGGCAUUGGAAGACCUUCAACAUAUGCAAGCACUUUGAAAGUGUUGCAGGAUAGGAAAUAUGUGACAGUGAAAAGCCGUGUGCUGUAUCCAGAAUUUCGUGGUCGUAUGGUGUCAGCAUUUCUCUCUCACCACUUUACUGAGGUCACAGACUACAGCUUUACUGCUGAUAUGGAAACUGAGCUUGAUAAUGUUUCUGCUGGCUUAACCGAAUGGAAAGGCCUUCUCAGAGACUAUUGGACACGAUUUAGCUCAUACUGCAAUCGUGCUGAAAGCAUCCAUAUUCAUCAGGUGGAGAAGAUGCUAGAGAAAACAUUUGGUGAUUUUUUGUUUGGUUUGCUACCUAAUAACAGCAAGGCAUGCCCUAGUUGUCUGGAGGGCACUUUGAUCUUCAAAGUAAGUAGGUAUGGUGCUGGCUAUUUCGUAGGUUGUGAUCAACACCCAAAGUGCAAGUAUAUUGCUAAGACUUUAUAUGGUGAAGAAGAAGAAGAAGAAGAAGAAACUCCUCAAAACAAGUCUGUGGAGGAACCAAAGUUGCUUGGUGUUCAUCCAGUAUCUAAUGAAAAGGUUCUCUUGAAGAAUGGUCCAUAUGGAUUCUAUGUACAGCUUGGUGAAGACAGGAAGGGUUUCACACCAAAAAGAGCCUCUGUUUCUCAUAUAAAGGAUGUGGAUGGUAUUACAUUGGAGGAUGCUCUGGGGUUACUGCGUUAUCCUGUGACAUUGGGUAACCAUCCAAAGGAUGGGCAUCCUGUGAUAUUAAAGCAUGCAAAGGUUGGAUUUUCUGUUAGACAUCGACGGACAAUUGCUUCAGUUCCCAAGAAUAUGAAGCCAGAUGAUGUGACCUUGGAGAAGGCAUUGGAGCUUUUAUCAGGUGCUAAUGUCAGGCACCUCGGUCGACCUAAGAGGAAAACAAAGGUUGAGGAAAUCGUGGAGGCUGUGUAGCCUUGGCAAAUGGCAAUUACAAGCCGGCUGUUCUGAUGUACAGUCACUUGUUCAAGGCAACUUUUCAACAACACAAAUCAUGUGCUUGCCAAGAUGCAUCUCAUCUCCCGCAUGGGUGUCAAGGGAUUCGAUUAAUGGAGAGAGUUGUUCUGAAUGAUGACAACCAAUUGUUAUAAUGUCAUCUACUAACCCUUUUGUUUGUUAUCAUAUUCUUUUGGGGUCAUAUUCACAGGGGAUCGCAUUAGUUAUUUGAGGUAAACGUGAAUUUCGAGUGUUGUAUUUGAUUCUUCGGACAAUGCAUUCAGAUGGAAUCUUCAUUGCAACUAUUCUUUUGGUUUAAACUACCUGGACAUUGUAAUAACAUAGUGGUGAAAAUGGGGAAAAGUUGCUGCAGUCGAAACCAGCAAUUUUGAAAUUUCGGUUUUCUUUGUAAGAUUCCUGGUUAUGGAAGUCUUUAAAUUUACGGC
rnacentral:misc_RNA from 1 species